AAGCCUACCUCAAGAUGAGUACUCUUACCAUCAUAGAAUGGUUAAGGUCACGGCAAGACUAGCCGUUUGAUAGGUAUCAGGUGUAAGUACAGUAAUGUAUUUAGCUGAGAUAUACUAAUAGACCGAAUGCUUGACUUU
rnacentral:ncRNA from 1 species